rnacentral:lncRNA from 1 species
GGGACUGUUCGAUCUUGCACAGACUUUAGCUGCUUCAAUGCAUGAUCCUUGCCAACGUUUCAGGAAUAUCUUACCAAGGCCAAAUUCAUAGCAGGCUGGAGAUGAUCAAGGGCUGGAACCCAGGGCCUUGCACCUGCUAGGCACGCAAUUCACCUUAAUUAUGUCCCUCAGCACGACUUCAGCAGCUUUAAAUCCCCUCUGUAUGGGUGGGGAGAGAUGGGUGUUUCCUGGGCAACCAGGGGCAAGCUGGCGCCCACGCAGACUGUAGAGGAGCCUCUCCUCCCUGCAGGUGUGUGUGUUUGUGUGUUGGAAAACAUCUGUGAACCUGUUGUGCUGCUUUCAGUGGGUCAACCCGGUCUCUCGUGCAUGGACUUCGGAAACACCCUGGAGCAG